UACGUAGGGGGCAAGCGUUGUCCGGAUUCAUUGGGCGUAAAGCGCGCGUAGGUGGCUUCGUAAGUCCGUUGUGAAAGUCAAAGGCUCAACCUUUGAAAGCCGAUGGAUACUGCGGAGCUAGAGUACGGAAGAGGCGAGUGGAAUUCCUGGUGUAGCGGUGGAAUGCGCAGAUAUCAGGAGGAACACCAAUAGCGAAGGCAGCUCGCUGGGACGUUACUGACACUGAGGCGCGAAAGCGUGGGGAGCGAACAGG
rnacentral:rRNA from 1 species